CCACUCAAUUCUUACGAUAAACUUUCUUAAUCUUUGACUAUCUAAACAUGUCAUAAACAUCAUUUCAAACUUAUUUUUAUCAGUAAACAACCAGUAAAGUGAAUAAUACAGCGCAGAUAGAGAGAAUCAAAUCAACUGACAAACGAAAUGCCAAAUAUGGGACAGCUUUGCGGGUAUAUUUAAUCCGCAUGCGAAGUAUACUCGCAAGGCUGUCCCAUCAUUAUUUUCUCCUCCGCAUCAACAACUUCCAAAUCAAGAACACAUUGGACGAAAUUCUACAACAAUUAUCUUAAUAUCUGUGAAAAAAGAAGUAGAAAAGACUUGCCGGCAGCGGCAGAGAAGGAAUCCGGAAUCAAGCAUCAAACAAGCGUCGAAUAUACCCCCGAGCGGAACGAACUCGCUGAACGAGUCAAUCGCGCGACAGUCGAGCGCGCCAAAUGUAUGCUGUUUGAGGCGCAUCUUCCGAAACCGUUUUGGGCAGAAGCGGUCGCUGCUGCUGUUUAUUUGGUAAACAGAUCGCCCACGAAAGGUAUCGACGUUACGCCGGAAGAGGCGUGUUCCGGGCGCAAGCCGAACCUGCAACACGUGAUAGUGUUCGGGACUACCGUGAUGGCACAUGUACCCAAGUGCAAGCGCAAGAAGUGGGACAAGAAGGCAAUCGAAUGUAUUCUCACUGGUUUUGAUGAGAAUUCGAAGGCUUAUACGACAUCGCAAAGGACGAAAUUUUCAAAUCCCGAUAUGUUUCGUUAGUUGCUGAGGGCGAAAUCAACCGGGCUCAAUCAAGCGUUGCUGAAGGCAGAGGAGCUACCACGUUAGUCAGGUUGGACUUCAAUGUGGUUGGGCUUCAGUGAGGUUCCUGUCAUUCCCACGUGAGGCGAAGCAACAGAGAACGGUUCAUUUCUACGAGAUACCGCAAUUUUCAGCUCCAUUGCACUGGCCUACCUUCAUCAAAGUUCGCUGAUGGUUCAUCUCCGAUGAUUGAAACUGAAUCGGAAUCCGGGCGUAUCAGCACUGCGUCCCCCUCGCCUUCGUCGAAUGAACAACCAGGUGACAAUGAGGUCCCAACACGGUUGAUGCUCUGCGAUCGGAGGCGCCUUACCCAAGUCAAGUAUAAUUCAUUAAUUUCCUUUAUUUCAAUUACUGGUUCCGAUGUUUCACAGUUCCUGCCGAAUGAUCCCUUGUCACAUCAAGAAACGUUGGCCCAUGACGAUGCCGAAAGCUGGAAAAGUGCGAUGCCGGAGGAGCAUGAUGCUCUUAUCUCGAACGGUACAUGGGAGCUUUGUGACCUGCCCGCAGGAUGAAAUGCAAUCAAAUGCAAAUGGGUGUACCGAACUAAGCUGAACGAUGAUGGCAAAAUCGAUCGACACAAAGCCAGGCUCGUCGUCAAAGGAUAUUCGCAGCGAAAGGGGGUAGAUUACCAGGAAACCUACUCUCCAGUUGUUCGCUACGUUAUCUUUUCGCACUCGCUGCACGCUGGGACAUGAAGGUCGAUCAAAUGGAUGCCAUUACUGCGUUCCUUCAUGGUGAUUUGACGCAGGAAAUUUAUAUGGAGCAACCACCAUGCUUCAUCGACGAGAACAACAGAUCCAAGGUAUGUCGUCUCAAGAAAGCGCUCUAUGGACUCAAACAGUCAAGCAGAGUGUGGAACAAGAAGCUUGAUGUCGCUUUCAAGAAGUUUGGCCUCCAAUGUGCCGAUUACGAUCCAAGCUUGCACAUCGAGGUUUCCGGAAACGAUAUCCGUGAAUCAUUUCAUCAGGAAUGCACUGGAGAAAGGCGAAGUUGCUGUGGACUACAUCUGUACAAAAAAAAGCAAACUGCUGAUGGACUGACCAAGCCACAGAAUCGAGAGAAGAUACAUUUCUUUCAAAAUGCACUCGGUCUGCAGCAUCCAGAAGUUUGAGGAGGAGUGAAGGAGUUUUCCCAUCGAAGCAAUCAGGUUUUCUGAAGAACAUUUGUUGCUAUUAAGAAUCAAUAAAAUUUUCAUUAUGUUAC